UUCUUAAUCCUUUUCUUCUCUCUUAUACUUAGACAGAGACCUGUCUCUUCUCUGGAAGACAGAAUCUGUCAAACCUCUUUUCAGUCACACCGUUAUCGGAAAUGUUGACAAAGGUAAUGAUUCUGUUCACACUCCAAGUCCAUUGCUACUCAAAGAACCAAGAUCCAGUGUCAUACCCUCUUUUGUUUCUAACGGAAUGAUUACAAAAGUAUUUCCUCGGGAUAAACCAGGCUGUCCCUGGGAAAGGCCGAAAGUAGUAAAUGUGGUGACAGAAGCUAUGGUGACCACUGAGCUCCCUGUGACAGUCAUUCCGAAAUUGAACACUUGUGUGAUGGAGAUGUGUAGGUUCUUCCAGCGAUGCCUUUGUCGUGUGUAUUCAAAGAGGCUGGAAUUAAGGUGGGGUAUCAAAAUUAAAUGUCGCAUGAUAAGAAUCUGUACACAAUUGUGUUUGGUUAAUGUAACCAUGAA
rnacentral:lncRNA from 1 species